rnacentral:rRNA from 1 species
UACGUAGGGGCAAGCGUUGUCCGGAAUCAUUGGGCGUAAAGAGCGUGUAGGCGGCCCGGUAAGUCCGCUGUGAAAGUCCAGGGCUCAACCCUGGGAUGCCGGUGGAUACUGUCGGGCUAGAGUGCGGAAGAGGCGAGUGGAAUUCCUGGUGUAGCGGUGAAAUGCGCAGAUAUCAGGAGGAACACCAAUUGCGAAGGCAGCUCGCUGGGACGUUACUGACGCUGAGACGCGAAAGCGUGGGAGCAAACAGG